rnacentral:rRNA from 1 species
UACGGGGGGAGCAAGCGUUGUUCGGAUUUACUGGGCGUAAAGGGCGCGUAGGCGGCACUGCAAGUCAGUUGUGAAAUCUCCGGGCUUAACCCGGAAAGGUCAACUGAUACUGCAGGGCUAGAGUGCAGAAGGGGCAACUGGAAUUCUCGGUGUAGCGGUGAAAUGCGUAGAUAUCGAGAGGAACACCUGCGGCGAAGGCGGGUAGCUGGGCCGACACUGACGCUGAUGCGCGAAAGCCAGGGGAGCGAACGGG